GACCCGACUGCUAUUUGGGUGAGAAUAAGCCAUGCGAGUUGAAUGGGAUACCUAAAGUUCCCAUAGCAAACUGCUCAGUAACACAUGAUCAACUUACCCUAUAGAGAAAAAUAACCUCGGGAAACUGAGGAUAAUAUUUCAUAAUUGAAUUGGCUUGGAAAAGUUUUUCAAUGAAAGGGAUAAAAAAAAUGGUUUUUAUCUGCUAUAGGAUAGGAUCGUGUUCGAUUAUGGCUGUUGGUGAGAUAAUGGCUCACCAAGCCGAUAAUCGAUAGGGGCCGUGAGAGCGGGAGCCCCGAGAUGGGUACUGAGACAACGACCCAGGCCUUACGAGGCGCAGCAGGCGCGGAACCUCCGCAAUACACGAAAGUGUGACGGGGUUACCCAAAGUGUUCAAUAGAACUGUGGUAGGUGAGUAAUGUCCCCUACUAGAAAGGAGAGGGCAAGGCUGGUGCCAGCCGCCGCGGUAAAACCAGCUCUUCAAGUGGUCGGGAUAAUUAUUGGGCUUAAAGUGUCCGUAGCCGGUUUAGUAAGUUCCUGGUAAAAUCGGGUAGCUUAACUAUCUGCAUGCUAGGAAUACUGCUAUACUAGAGGGCGGGAGAGGUCUGAGGUACUACAGGGGUAGGGGUGAAAUCUUAUAAUCCUUGUAGGACCACCAGUGGCGAAGGCGUCAGACUGGAACGCGCCUGACGGUGAGGGACGAAAGCCAGGGGAGCGAACCGGAUUAGAUACCCGGGUAGUCCUGGCCGUAAACGAUGCAUACUANGUGAUGGUACGGCCAUGAGCCGUAUCAGUGCCGUNNGNAAACCGUUAAGUGUGCCGCCUGANAAGUACGGUCGCAAGGCUAAAACUUAA
rnacentral:rRNA from 1 species